rnacentral:rRNA from 1 species
GACGAACCCGUGCGAACGUUGUUCGGAAUCACUGGGCUUAAAGGGCGCGUAGGCGGCCUGGUCAGUCAGGGGUGAAAUCUUUCGGCUCAACCGGAAAAGUGCCUUUGAUACUACCAGGCUCGAGGGAGAUAGGGGCGUGUGGAACUUCCAGUGGAGCGGUGAAAUGCGUUGAUAUUGGAAGGAACGCCGGUGGCGAAAGCGACACGCUGGGUCUCUUCUGACGCUGAGGCGCGAAAGCUAGGGGAGCGAACGGGAUUAGAAACCCUUGUAGU